rnacentral:rRNA from 1 species
CCUUCGGGUUGUAAAGCACUUUUGUCCGGAAAGAAAUCCUUGGCUCUAAUACAGUCGGGGGAUGACGGUACCGGAAGAAUAAGCACCGGCUAACUACGUGCCAGCAGCCGCGGUAAUACGUAGGGUGCGAGCGUUAAUCGGAAUUACUGGGCGUAAAGCGUGCGCAGGCGGUUUGCUAAGACCGAUGUGAAAUCCCCGGGCUCAACCUGGGAACUGCAUUGGUGACUGGCAGGCUAGAGUAUGGCAGAGGGGGGUAGAAUUCCACGUGUAGCAGUGAAAUGCGUAGAGAUGUGGAGGAAUACCGAUGGCGAAGGCAGCCCCCUGGGCCAAUACUGACGCUCAUGCACGAAAGCGUGGGGAGCAAACAGGAUUAGAUACCCUGGUAGUCCACGCCCUAAACGAUGUCAACUAGUUGUUGGGGAUUCAUUUCCUUAGUAACGUAGCUAACGCGUGAAGUUGACCGCCUGGGGAGUACGGUCGCAAGAUUAAAACUCAAAGG